UUAUAAUAACUUUAUUCAUUAAACUUUGUGAAACAUAAUAAUAGCAAUUAUAUGCAGAGUGAUAUUUGAUACAGCCAGUCUGUUAAUCAAGCUCAUUCUGAUAAGGUUGACCAUAUGUUCGACAAAUUUCAAAGAUAGUUGCUAUGGUAAUUAAGUUUAUAGGAAAUCUGAAUGUAAUGGGAUGGUCACUUUUGUGAUUAUUUCCUGUUGUGUAUUUGUAAGAAAGAAGUGAUACGAAGAAAACAAAAAGAGAAAAUCAUGUCAUCUGAGAUUCAAAGAGAAAGAUAGUAACAUAGUCGGUUAGAAAAAAACAUAGCUGUAAAGAGUCUUCGGAUAAGGAGAUAGAUGAUGCAGCUAAAGAUUGGCGGCGCUUAAGCCUUGACAGAGAAGGUGGCAAGAAACAGAGAAGGGAAAAAAAGAAUAACA